UAGACUGGGAUAACUUCGGAAACCGGAGCUAAUACCGGAUAAUACUUUUGAACACAUGUUCGAAAGUUGAAAGAUGGUUUCGGCUAUCACUAUAGGAUGGACCCGCGGCGCAUUAGCUAGUUGGUGGGGUAAUGGCUCACCAAGGCAACGAUGCGUAGCCGACCUGAGAGGGUGAUCGGCCACACUGGGACUGAGACACGGCCCAGACUCCUACGGGAGGCAGCAGUAGGGAAUCUUCCACAAUGGACGAAAGUCUGAUGGAGCAACGCCGCGUGAGUGAAGAAGGAUUUCGGUUCGUAAAACUCUGUUGCAAGGGAAGAACAAGUAGCGUAGUAACUGGCGCUACCUUGACGGUACCUUGUUAGAAAGCCACGGCUAACUACGUGCCAGCAGCGGC
rnacentral:rRNA from 1 species